AUUGAACGCUGGCGGCAGGCCUAACACAUGCAAGUCGAACGGUAACAGGAAGCAGCUUGCUGCUUUGCUGACGAGUGGCGGACGGGUGAGUAAUGUCUGGGAAACUGCCUGAUGGAGGGGGAUAACUACUGGAAACGGUAGCUAAUACCGCAUAACGUCGCAAGCCCAAAGAGGGGGACCUUCGGGCCUCUUGCCAUCGGCUGUGCCCAGAUGGGAUUAGCUAGUAGGUAGGGUAACGGCUCACCUAGGCGACGAUCCCUAGCUGGUCUGAGAGGAUGACCAGCCACACUGGAACUGAGACACGGUCCAGACUCCUACGGGAGGCAGCAGUGGGGAAUAUUGCACAAUGGGCGCAAGCCUGAUGCAGCCAUGCCGCGUGUAUGAAGAAGGCCUUCGGGUUGUAAAGUACUUUCAGCGGGGAGGAAGGGAGUAAAGUUAAUACCUUUGCUCAUUGACGUUACCCGCAGAAGAAGCACCGGCUAACUCCGUG
rnacentral:rRNA from 1 species